rnacentral:rRNA from 1 species
AACGAACGCUGGCGGCAUGCCUAACACAUGCAAGUCGAACGAGACCUUCGGGUCUAGUGGCGCACGGGUGCGUAACGCGUGGGAACCUGCCCUUAGGUUCGGAAUAACUCCCCGAAAGGGGUGCUAAUACCGGAUAAUGUCUUCGGACCAAAGAUUUAUCGCCUUUGGAUGGGCCCGCGUUGGAUUAGCUAGUUGGUAGGGUAAAAGCCUGCCAAGGCGACGAUCCUUAGCUGGUCUGAGAGGAUGAUCAGCCACACUGGGACUGAGACACGGCCCAGACUCCUACGGGAGGCAGCAGUGGGGAAUAUUGGACAAUGGGCGAAAGCCUGAUCCAGCAAUGCCGCGUGAGUGAUGAAGGCCUUAGGGUUGUAAAGCUCUUUUACCCGGGAUGAUAAUGACAGUACCGGGAGAAUAAGCUCCGGCUAACUCCGUG